UACGUAGGGGGCUAGCGUUGUCCGGAUUUAUUGGGCGUAAAGAGCGUGUAGGCGGCCAGGUAGGUCUGCUGUGAAAACUCGAGGCUCAACCUCGAGAUGUCGGCGGAAACCAUCUGGCUAGAGUCCGGAAGAGGAGAGUGGAAUUCCUGGUGUAGCGGUGAAAUGCGUAGAUAUCUGCAGGAACACCCGUGGCGAAAGCGGCGAGCUGGACCACUACUGACGCUGAAGAACGAAAGCUAGGGGAGCAAACAGG
rnacentral:rRNA from 1 species